AAAGUGAAAAGUGCAUUCUCUCUCCUCUGUCUUCUCUCUCCUCUUUGCUCUCUCUUCCUCCUCCGACGCUCCUUCCGAUCUAGCGAUUCCUCCGACGACCGUCGCUGCCUCCCGACGACAGCCUUUCUCUCUCCACUCGACGGCCUCAUCUCAAGGCUCCAUUCUCUCGGCGCACUUCUUCCUAAAUCGCGCUCUCUCCCGACGGCCGAUUUCGCUCGCCUCUCUCUGUCCCCCGACUCGCAACCGAGAAGCAAUCGCUCCGUCCUGUUCGAAGCAGUCGCUCGAGAAGCCCUAAAUCUGCGAGUCAGCAACGCGAGAAGUGAAACUGCGACUGUCUCUCUCUCUCUCUACCCUUGUCCGGUUUUUCCGUUCUUGGCAAAUUCGAAGAUGAGCCCACUUCUGGAUACAUGAUCUUAGGCCGACCCGUCAAGUCGAAGCCCGACGUAAUCUCGCUGCUUCGCUCCACCGAGCUGUUGAAUCGCUUGCGUCUGGGGGGUUUGAAGAUUUUCCGGGGGGGCAAUCGCCUGUUCCGUCAUUGCAGACUUCCAGGCGAGAAGAAAUGUGCCCACAAUAAUCACCCCAACACCGAACCGCCUCCUUUGUCCUCUCUCGCGAUACAAUUGCAGCAUCACAUAGUAUCUAUUGAAUACUACAACUGCAGCAAUAAAUGAUGUUGCCGAGAAUUACUUGCAACUGUCUUGAGUUUGAGAUAAUGUCUUAUAGAUUAUCAUUACAAUGGUGAAACAGCACCCAAAAAGAAAAAGGAGUGAGCAAGUUUUCAACAAUACAAGUCCCAAAAUGUAAUGGUGUUGCUUAAUUAGGUCGGUUGGAUACAGAACCAGCAAGGUCC